rnacentral:rRNA from 1 species
UACGUAGGGUGCGAGUGUUAAUCGGAAUUACUGGGCGUAAAGCGUGCGCAGGCGGUUGUGCAAGACAGAUGUGAAAUCCCCGGGCUUAACCUGGGAAUUGCAUUUGUGACUGCACGGCUAGAGUGUGUCAGAGGGGGGUAGAAUUCCACGUGUAGCAGUGAAAUGCGUAGAUAUGUGGAGGAAUACCGAUGGCGAAGGCAGCCCCCUGGGAUAACACUGACGCUCAUGCACGAAAGCGUGGGGAGCAAACAGG